rnacentral:ncRNA from 1 species
GAGUUUGAUCCUGGCUCAGGAUGAACGCUGGCGGCGUGCUUAACACAUGCAAGUCGAACGGACUCAUAUUGAAACCUAGUGAUGUAUGAGUUAGUGGCGGACGGGUGAGUAACGCGUGGAGAACCUGCCGUAUACUGGGGGAUAACACUUAGAAAUAGGUGCUAAUACCGCAUAAGCGCACAGCUUCGCAUGAAGCAGUGUGAAAAACUCUGGUGGUAUACGAUGGAUCCGCGUCUGAUUAGCUAGUUGGCGGGGUAAAGGCCCACCAAGGCGACGAUCAGUAGCCGGCCUGAGAGGGUGAACGGCCACAUUGGGACUGAGACACGGCCCAAACUCCUACGGGAGGCAGCAGUGGGGAAUAUUGCACAAUGGGGGAAACCCUGAUGCAGCGACGCCGCGUGAGUGAAGAAGUAUUUCGGUACGUAAAGCUCUAUCAGCAGGGAAGAAAAUGACGGUACCUGACUAAGAAGCCCCGGCUAACUACGUGCCAGCAGCCGCGGUAAUACGUAGGGGGCAAGCGUUAUCCGGAUUUACUGGGUGUAAAGGGAGCGUAGACGGCAGCGCAAGUCUGGAGUGAAAUCCCAUGGCUUAACCAUGGAACUGCUUUGGAAACUGUGCAGCUAGAGUGCAGGAGAGGUAGGCGGAAUUCCUAGUGUAGCGGUGAAAUGCGUAGAUAUUAGGAGGAACACCAGUGGCGAAGGCGGCUUACUGGACUGUAACUGACGUUGAGGCUCGAAAGCGUGGGGAGCAAACAGGAUUAGAUACCCUGGUAGUCCACGCUGUAAACGAUGAUUACUAGGUGUUGGGGGACCAAGNNNNNNNNN